rnacentral:misc_RNA from 1 species
GAUGAAGAACGUAGCGAAAUGCGAUACGUAAUGUGAAUUGCAAAUUCAGUGAAUCAUCGAGUCUUUGAACGCACAUUGCGCCCCCUGGUAUUCCGGGGGGCAUGCCUGUCCGCGCGUCAUUGCUGCCCUCAAGCACGGCUUGUGUGUUGGGCCCCGUCCUCCGAUCCCGGGGGACGGGCCCGAAAGGCAGCGGCGGCACCGCGUCCGGUCCUCGAGCGUAUGGGGCUUUGUCACCCGCUCUGUAGGCCCGGCCGGCGCUUGCCGAUCAACCCAAAUUUUUAUCCGGGUUGACCUCGGAUCAGGUAGGGAUACCCGCUGAACUUAAGCAUAUCAAUAAGCGGAGGA